rnacentral:rRNA from 1 species
AUUGAACGCUGGCGGCAGGCUUAACACAUGCAAGUCGAGCGGAGCGGCGGACGGGUGCGUAAUGCUUCGGAAUCUGCCUCUUCGUGGGGGACAACAUCUCGAAAGGUAUGCUAAUACCGCAUACUCAUAGAUUAGCCUAUGCCGGUUUGGCUAGUUGGUGGGGUAAAGGCCUAACAAGGCGACGAUCUGUAGCGGGGCUGAGAGGAUGAUCCGCCACACGGGGACUGAAACAAGGGCCAGACUCCCACGGGAGGUAGCAGGGGGGAAUAUGGGACAAUUGGGGGAACCCUGAUCCAGCCAUGGCGCGUGUGUGAAGAAGGCCUUAUGGUUGGAAAGCACUUUAAGCGAGGAGGCGUUACUCGCAGAAUAAGCACCGGCUAACUCUGUGCCAGCAGCCGCGGUAAUAC